ACACGUUGUGGUCGGAUCAGAUUUUGUUGUAUCUACCUGGUAGCAGGUAGUGGAGCGCGCCUUCUCCUGGCUCUCAAAUAAGUCCGCUUGGUUUACACUUUGUUGAGAGAUUUUAAUGAAAGAAGGAGGGUGAGCCGAACAGUGUACUUUGGCAGCGGAUAAAUAAUUAACCUGGCAACUCAAGCAGUUUACAGAAGAGCUGACAUGAGGAGCAGAGCCAAGCAGUAGCGGAGUGUGCGCCUGUGUCUCGAGACUGAAAACAGGCCUACAGGUGUUUUUGUAUUUCUGCUGUUUAAUGCCAUUUGACCUGGAUACACUGCACUGUAAUCAUGCUGGGAGCCGAGGGCAGACUGGAGAGCCGGCUGGAAAAGCUGGAGUCCCUCAUGAGGGAUCCACAGUCGGGACUAAACUUGGAAACACUACUGGAUUCCAUGAACGCGCUGGCUCAUGAUCUGAAUUAUCCUGCCCUGAGGAAAAACAAAAACAUAGAGGCGUUUCUGAGCCGAUAUGAAAAGGCAGCGAGUCAAGUCCGAGAGCUGCAGGUAAAGCUUGAAGACUUCGACAAAGUGAAGUUGAUCGGAAAAGGAGCCUAUGGAGAAGUGCGACUGGUUCGUCACAAGGCCUCUCGAAAGGUUUACGCCAUGAAGCAGCUUAACAAGUUUGAGAUGAUAAAGCGGUCAGACUCUGCCUUCUUCUGGGAGGAGAGGCACAUCAUGGCCUAUUCCAACAGUCCAUGGGUCGUACAGCUGUUCUGCGCUUUCCAAGACGACCGCCACCUCUACAUGGUGAUGGAGUUCAUGCCCGGAGGCGACCUGGUCACGCUCACCAUGAACUACGACAUACCUGAGAAGUGGGCUAUCUUUUACACGGCUGAAGUAGUGCUGGCAUUGGACGCUAUCCACUCCAUGGGCUUCAUCCAUCGAGAUGUGAAACCUGACAACAUGCUGCUCGACCAACACGGACACCUCAAACUGGCAGAUUUCGGCACGUGCAUGAAGAUGGACUCGACAGGCAUGGUGCACUGUGACACAGCUGUAGGCACGCCGGACUACAUCUCCCCCGAGGUGCUUCAGUCUCAGGGCGGUCAUGGUCACUACGGCCGUGAGUGUGACUGGUGGUCCGUAGGAAUCGUUAUCUAUGAGUUGCUAGUCGGUGAUACUCCCUUCUAUACUGAGUCCCUGAUUGGAACAUAUGGGAAGAUCAUGAACCACAAGAACUCCCUCGUCUUCCCAGAGGACAAAGAGAUGUCUCAAGGCGCCAGAGACCUCAUCUGUGCCUUUCUUACUGACAGGGAGGUUCGUCUGGGUCGCACCGGAGUGGAUGAGAUAAAGUGCCACCCUUUCUUCAAGAACGACCAGUGGACCUUUGACAACAUCCGAGAGACUGUGGCUCCAGUUGUGCCUGAGCUGAGCGGCGACAUCGACACCAGCAACUUUGACGAAGUAGAGGUUGAUAAAAAGGAUGUUGAGACCUUUCCUCCACCCAAAGCCUUUGUGGGCAACCAGCUGCCAUUCAUCGGCUUUACUUACUUCAAAGAGGACCAGCUGCUGAAGGUAAAUAAUAACUGCUCUGUGGAGGUUUCAGAGGAGAGUAAGGAAAACUCUGAGGAAAAGGAUCAUUGCUCGGACAGUAAGAAAGAGCUGCUGAAAAAGCUUCAUGAGCUUGAGGAGCAGGUCUACCAUGAGAUGCAGGCCAAAGAUGAGCUGGAGCACAAGUGCAAAAAUGCCAACAACCGUUUAGACAAGCUUGUGGAAGAGUUAGACAAGGAGAUGAGUAGCAGGCAGAAAGUGGAGGCCUCGCUGAGGCAGCUUGAGCGAGAGCAAGCGCUGCUGCAGCACCAGAGCGCUGAAAACCUGCGCAAGGUGGAUAUGGAAGCGGACAGGAAACGCAGCCUGGAGAACGAAUUGAACCUUCUGAGGGACCAGCUAGAGGAUCUUAGGAAGAAGAACCAGAAUUCCCAGAUCUUCAAUGAGAAGAACAUCGAGCUGCAGAGACAACUCGAGGAGGCCAACGCCGUGCUGCUGGCUGAGCAGGAGGCGGCAGCGCGGCUGAAGAAGAGUCAGGCAGAGGCGCAGAAACAGGCUCAGUGCCUGGAGCUCAGCCUCAGGGAGAUGCAGGAAAAGUGCAGACAGCUCGAAAACAGCAAGCAGGAGCUGGAGAAGCAGCUGAGGGGGCUGCAGGCCGAGCUGGAGGAGGAGAGGAGGGGCCGCAGCAUCGGGACCGAAACUAUUACUGACCUGCAGGGACGCAUCUCUGGCCUUGAAGAAGAAGUAAAAGAGGUGAAGUCCUCUGUUUCUAAGGUCCAGACUGAAAAGAAGCAGCUACACGACAAGCUCAACGAUCUUGAGAAGGAGAAGAGCAACCAAGAGAUCGACCUGACGUUCAAUCUGAAGUCGCUCCAGCAGAGUUUGGAGCAGGAGGAGGCCGAACACAAAGCCACCAAAUCCAAGCUCGCAGAUAAAGACAACAUCUACGAGUCCAUCGACGAGGCAAAGUCUGAGGCCUUAAAAGAGAUGGAGUGCACUCUGCAGGAGGAGAGGAGCCUGAAGCUGCAGGUGGAGGCGAAGCUGCUGCAACAAGAGAAGGCCCACUCCAUGCUGGACUGCGACUACAAGCAGGCGCAGCAGAAACUCAACGAGAUGCAGGCGCAGAAGGAUAAACUUUCUCAAGAGGUGAAGAGUCUGAGCCUGCGUCUGGAGGAGGAGAUCCACAAGCGCAGCAUGACCCAGAGCGAUCUGAAGAUGCAGAACCAGCAGGUGUCGGUGCUCAGCUCCUCCGAAAAACAGCUCAAACAGGAGCUCAACCACCUGCUGGAAAUGAAGCAAAUCAUGGAGAAACAGAUCCAGGAGCUACGCAGGGAGAGGCAGGAGGCCGGCGGCCAGCUGAAGGAGCUGAAGGACCAACUGGAGAGUGAGCAGUAUUUCACAACUCUUUACAAGACGCAGAUUCGUGAGCUGAAGGACGAGUGUUCUGAGAGGAGUAAACUGUACAAAGAGUCGCAGCUACAACUGGGACAAUAUCAGGAGGAGAGGAGCUCCAUGUCAGCACAGCUGGAGUCCAGUCUGACAAAGGCGGACUCAGAGCAGCUGGCUCGCUCCUUCGCUGAGGAGCAGUACUCGGAUCUGGAAAAGGAGAAGAUCAUGAAGGAGCUGGAGAUCAAAGAUAUGAUGGCGAGAAACAAACUGGACCUCGGAGACAAGGAGGCCACAAUCAGCUCGCUGGAAGAGUCCAAUCGCACUCUGACGGUGGAUGUGGCCAACCUGGCCAGCGAGAAAGAGGAGCUCAACAACCAGCUGAAAGACAUGCAGCAACAGCUCCAGAAAGCAAUGGAGGAGGAGAAGCAGAUGAACUCGCACAAACUGUCCUUUGAAAAGCUGCUGCAGAAUGAAAGGACGCUCAAAAUUCAGGCUAUCAACAAGCUGACCGAGGUGAUGAACAGGAGGGAGUCGGGGCGAGGAGGCCAGCGCACGAUCGACACUGAGGUGCACAGGAAGGAGAAACUGAACAGGAAGCUGCAGCAGGAGCUGAGGACGGAGAAGGAGAAGCUCAACAGCACCAUCAUCAAGUACCAGAGAGAGAUGACAGAUAUGCAGGCGCUGAUAGCAGAAGAGAACCAGGUGCGUCUGGAGCUUCAGAUGACGUUGGACAGCAAAGACAGCGACAUCGAGCAGCUCCGGUGUCAGAUCACUUCCCUCAGCAUUCACUCUCUGGACACCACCAGCAUCAGCAGUGGCAACGACCUGGACAUGGGUGACGGAUACCCAGUGCGCAUUUCUCACUCACAAACCUCAGAAUCAAUGUCCUUCACCUACCAGCGCACACACAAAUCUGUCUGCAUCGACACCCGGCCAAACCUUCGCUCUGCUCACAAUCUCUUCGACUCUGACUCUGACUCUGAGGAUGAGGAAGAAUAUGGCAGGAGGGCGGAGCAGGGCCCCCGUCCCCUGGCCCUCACCUACGAACAGCCCCCUGAGGCUGAACCUGCAGACUCCAGGUUGCAGGGCUGGAUUUCCCUUCCUACCAAGAACACAAAGCGUUUUGGCUGGGACAAAAAAUAUGUAGUUGUGAGCAGCAAGAAGAUCCUGUUCUACAACAGCGAACUGGAUCGAGAGCAGGCUAAUCCUUUCAUGACCCUGGACAUCGAAAAACUUUUUCACGUCCGACCUGUCACUCAUACGGAUGUGUACCGUGCGGAUGCCAAAGAAAUUCCAAUGAUAUUCCAGAUCCUGUAUGCCAAUGAAGGCGAGAUUAAACGUGAUCAGGAGGUGGCAGUGGAUCCGGGGACGUUUGUGGAUCGCCCCUCCUUCAUCCCUCACAAGGGCCAUGAGUUCAUACUCACUCUCUACCACUUCCCGUCCAGCUGUGAGGUCUGCACCCGGCCCCUGUGGAAUGUUUUUAAACCCCCGCCGGCCCUCGAGUGCCGUCGCUGCCACACCAAGUGCCACAAAGAUCACCUGGACAAGAAGGAGGAAGUUAUUGUGCCUUGCAAGGUUAACUAUGACAUCUCCACUGCCAAAGAGCUGCUUCUGCUGACCAGCUCUCAGGAGGAGCAGCAGCGCUGGGUCGCCCACCUCCUCAAACGCAUCCCGAGGAAACACCCGACCAUUAGUCCUCCUGCCGCAACACAAAACAACCACCCUGACGCACCGCCACGCCUGUCUCCUCGAAACUCCCCGAGACCCUCACCCAAGGCCUCGCCUCGUCUGUCGGCCCAUCGCGGAGCCAUUAAGAUCCAGCCCAGCAGACAGCAGCCGUCCUCAGGGAAGCCCAGAUUGCUUGAGUUCGGCCUCAGAGACUGGAGUUGGCCAUUGGAUGAUGACGAUGAUGAUGAUGAUGAUGAUAUGUUCUUCUGAAUGAAGUGAAAGAGGGGGGUCAGAGGGUAACUGGACCUCUGCAUGUGUUUGCCGUGUGCAGGCAGCCUUACUGGAGACAGAGACAUGCUUUGUUGUGAUUUCUAAAUUGACAGCUGAGUGGAAACAUGAACUCUAUGAAUGGCAUCAUGUCUACAACAAAAUUAACCCUGGCUCAUCAAAGAUGUGUAUUUUCAUCUUUAUGGAUAAACACCCGCAGUCUGGACUCAGUGCCUUCAUGUGUUAUUUCAUCAGGGCAGUAGACUGAAAAGAACCCUGCUAAUCAUGGACAGAAACAUUCACAGAGACUGGCUGUCGUCAUGAGAACUGAGGCUGCCUUUGUCAUUUUAACAAGAUGAAAAUGAGCAGUCAUAUUAGAGUGAGACUACAUCCAAAGAAAAAGUUUUUAAAAAACGGAUUAAAAGUGCUUUAUUUAUAACCAUCAUGAAUUAACAUGGGCGUUUUAUUCUGUCAGAUGCAGUGGAUGACAUGGAUUUAUGUUUGUUAGGCAUGUGUGUGAACAUUUGUAUAUAGGAUCAAGAGGUCUGUGUAUUGUAACACAGAAAGCGUAGCUCAUAGAAUAUGAUUAUUUUUAUGGAUGUCAGUCAGCAGCACAUUAUACAGUAUGCUUGCCUUAUAAAUGAAUAAGGUUUUCAUUACACAAAGUAGACUUGUAUAACAUACGACAGAAUAAUGUGAAUUGAAUAGAAACCAUGUGUUCGUUUCUCGCCAUUCAUGACAAUGACAUUUAAAUAAAGUUCUGUAACCCUAA